rnacentral:tRNA from 1 species
GCCCGAGUGGUGAAAUCGGUAGACGCAAAGGACUCAAAAUCCUUCGGUGUUAAAGCCAUGCCGGUUCGAGUCCGGCCUCGGGCACCA